GACGUAGGGUGCGAGCGUUGUCCGGAUUUAUUGGGCGUAAAGAGCUCGUAGGCGGCUUGUCACGUCGGUUGUGAAAGCCCGGGGCUUAACCCCGGGUCUGCAGUCGAUACGGGCAGGCUAGAGUUCGGUAGGGGAGAUCGGAAUUCCUGGUGUAGCGGUGAAAUGCGCAGAUAUCAGGAGGAACACCGGUGGCGAAGGCGGAUCUCUGGGCCGAUACUGACGCUGAGGAGCGAAAGCGUGGGGAGCGAACAGG
rnacentral:rRNA from 1 species